rnacentral:tRNA from 1 species
GCCGGGGUGGCUCAGCUGUGGUUAGAUGCCUUCACGGGCAGAUUGAAGCGCUGGACUCAUAAUCCAGAGGCCGCGGGUUCGACUCCCGUCCCCGGCA